rnacentral:rRNA from 1 species
UAGUCCACGCCGUAAACGAUGUGUGCUAGUUGUCAGACCCAAAGGGUUUGGUGACGGAGCGAAAGUAUUAAGCACACCGCCUGGGGAGUACGGCCGCAAGGUUAAAACUCAGAGGAAUUGACGGGGACCCGCACAAGCGGUGGAGCAUGUUCUUUAAUUCGAAGCAACGCGAAGAACCUUACCAACCCUUAACUAUCCUCUUGGGACUUUCAGAGAUGAUUGUCUUCGGUUCGGCCGGGGAGUGAAUAGGUGCUGCAUGGCUGUCGUCAGCUCGUGUCGUGAGAUGUUGGGUUAAGUCCCGCAACGAGCGCAACCCUUAUUGUUAGUUGCCAUCAUUUAGUUGGGCACUCUAAUGAGACUGCCGGUGAUAAGCCGGAGGAAGGCGGGGACGACGUCAAGUCAUCAUGGCCCUUACGGGUUGGGCUAGAAACGUGCUACAAUGGUAGUGACAAUGGGCAGCCACCUCGCGAGAGGGAGCUAAUCUCCAAAAACUAUCUCAGUUCGGAUUGUACUCUGCAA